rnacentral:rRNA from 1 species
AACGUAGGGGACAAGCGUUAUCCGGAUUUACUGGGCGUAAAGCGCCCGUAGGCGGCCUGACAAGUUGGACGUGAAAGCUCCUGGCUUAACUGGGAGAGGCCGUUCAAAACUGUCAAGCUAGAGUCUGGAAGAGGAGAGCGGAAUUCCCGGUGUAGUGGUGGGAUGCGUAGAGAUCGGGAGGAACACCAGUGGCGAAGGCGGCUAUCUGGACGGUUUCUGACACUAAGACUCGAAAGCGUGGGGAGCAAACAGG